UAACGACUCUCGGCAACGGAUAUCUCGGCUCUCGCAUCGAUGAAGAACGUAGCGAAAUGCGAUACUUGGUGUGAAUUGCAGAAUCCCGUGAACCAUCGAGUCUUUGAACGCAAGUUGCGCCCGAAGCCUUUCGGCCGAGGGCACGUCUGCCUGGGCGUCACG
rnacentral:rRNA from 1 species